CCUACGGGGGGCAGCAGUGGGGAAUAUUGCGCAAUGGGCGAAAGCCUGACGCAGCGACGCCGCGUGAGGGAUGAAGGUCUUCGGAUCGUAAACCUCUGUCAGCAGGGAAGAACGGUCACUGUGCUAAUCAGCAGUGAAUUGACGGUACCUGCAAAGGAAGCACCGGCUAACUCCGUGCCAGCAGCCGCGGUAAUACGGAGGGUGCGAGCGUUAAUCGGAAUUACUGGGCGUAAAGCGCUCGUAGGCGGUAUGUCAAGUCAAGGGUGAAAUCCCCGCGCUCAACGUGGGAACUGCCUUUGAAACUGGCAAACUGGAGUGUGUGAGAGGAUAGUGGAAUUCCAGGUGUAGGAGUGAAAUCCGUAGAUAUCUGGAGGAACAUCAGUGGCGAAGGCGACUAUCUGGCACAUAACUGACGCUGAGGAGCGAAAGCGUGGGUAGCA
rnacentral:rRNA from 1 species